rnacentral:lncRNA from 1 species
GGUUCAACUCAGGGGUGUCGUGGAAAUUUGGAGUUACAAUUCAAUGUUGUCUAAGAAUUCUUUACUUUGUAAGAAGAAAUAUGUGUGUAUUCUGGAAUUAAUGCUAGACUUAAAGAGCUUAACUCCCAAAUGGAAAACAAAAAGCAAACCUAAAACACUCCUACCCCACACCGAAUCAGACAACUCUCAAGACUUAACAAAAACAGGAGAAAAUAUACUUGAAGUAUAUGAACCCAUGAACAUUUUUAGUCAACAUUCAGGGAUUCCUUUUU